ensembl:ncRNA F26A10.14 ncRNA
AGCAGGCGAACGCGACGAGUGGACAACUGAAUUGAUUAUGACACUAUACGAAGUUUGAACCGAACAACGACAGACCACAAAAACAUUUUCUUCCAGCUUUUUAUUGAUGAAAAUAAAAUAAAAUCUAAU